AAAAAAAAAAAAUCACACAAGGCAACUCAACCCCACAUCUUGCAUCUCCCUUCCUCUCAUCUCGACAAACCCAAAACUUUACUCCACUUCCCCAUCCAUUUCUCACUCAAUUACCCACUCCACAUCCACGCACCCACCACCACAGCAUCCACUAAUCACCCAUCCACCCAUGAGUAUCAAUUAAACAACAAGGGAAAGUUGAAAUAGACGAGAAAAUAGAAGUUAAGUAUAAGCAUUUUUCCAGCCUCCUUGAUGUAAACAAAGAAGGAGGCGGGCGGUGGCGGUGGUGAUGGUGGUGGUACUUCAAAGCUCCUUACCAAAUGUUUCCUAUAUUUUGUCUAUUUCUCCUUUAUUUCCCGGUGUUGUGCGGGUGUUGAUGGUGUUGCUUGUUGGUUAAGGGUGUAGGGAAGUGUUUGUGUUGUUUGUAAAGGUGGGUGUUUGCUAGAAGACGUAGAAAAUGAAAAAUAAAAAAAAAAUUAAGUUUUGCACACACACACACGAGUUGAGAGCAAAAACGCGCACACACACACACGCACAUACACACACACCACACCCACACACACUUCUCUUUCCUGCCCUCCUACCCUCCCCAUCUUCUCCUUCCCUCCUACCCUCUCCUCUCCCCAUCUCCUUCCCUCCACCUCCUCCUCCUCCUCUCUCCCUCAGUUCCUUCAGUAGAGUGGUGUGGGUAGGUCGCUAUGCACACGGGCGGGCCAAGGAACAUUAGGAAUAGCAGACGGAAAUCCUGGAAUCUUGGAAUGGAGGGCGUGUGACUCAUGGCUUGGAAUAACUUAAAAUUUUGAUGGUUAUUUUGACUGACAAUGCGACCACCACCAUCACCACCCACCACCACCACCACCCUCUCCUCACUUCCCCUCUCCCUCUCUCUCCUUCCUCCUCCUCUUCCUCCAGCUCUCCCUCGCAGCCUCCCCAUCUGAAGAGGAAUGGGGAGAGGGGAGAGAGAGAGAGGAGGAACAGCUGGAAGAGGAAGAGGAAGAGGAGGAAGAUUGGGAGAUAGAGGAGGAAAAUGUGGUAAAUUUUUCCUACCAAGCAAAGGGGGGCCAGAAGAGGAGGCAGAGACAGCAGUGGAGGUGGUGGGGGUGAUGGAGGAGGGGUGGUGGGGGGUGGGGGCGCCAGGUGACCCAGCGAGGGGAGCAGAGCCAGCCAGAUGGGAUGGGUGGCCCUCCUUCACCCCCAACCCUCCUGACCCUUCCACACCCCCACCUGCCCCUCCCCUCCCAGUGACUAUGAGGUGCUACAAGAUGACUGGAAGGAGUAUGUGGUAUGAGAGAGAGAGAGAGAGAGAGAGAGAGAGAGAGAGAGAGAGAGAGAGAGAGAGAGAGAGAGAGAAUACAACCAUUUUUUA